GAACUAACCUGUCCCCGGUCUCGCUUCCAAGAGCGCCUCAAGCUCCUGGGAAGGGGGCAGCCGGGCCAGGGCAGCUUGCACAAGUUGAGCCCUGCCCCUACUCCCCAGGGUCCCGACCCCCACCCUCAAUGCCUGCCAUGGCUGGUUCCUGACCCCCACAGGAGCUUCUCUAGCGUAGGUCCUGGAUGGAGAGGGGUGGUGGGGAUAUCGCUUAUCGCCUUCUUGAAUUGGCAGGUAUCCACACUCACGCAAGAAGGUCCCGCUGCUUCCGCAGGACGUGACUGGCAAGCUCUCUUUUCCAGAAUCGGGACCCCCGCCGCUGCCACGGGCUUCCUUCCUUCCCUUUUCCUCCCUCCCUCUUUCCUUCCCCUUUCCCUCCUUCCUUCCUUUUCUCUUUCCCUUCCUCCCUCCUUCCUUUCUCUCUAUCUUCCUCCCUCCUUUCUUUCUUUCUUUCUUUCCCUUUCUUUUUCUUCCUUCAUCCUCUCCUCCCUCCGUCCGUUUCUGUUUGCCUUCCGAGAGCAGGCGCCCCUUCGUUUCUCUCUACCUUCCUCCCUUCUUUCUUUUUUCGCUUCGUUUCUCAGCGGUCAACGUCUCCUCGGGGCUUCCAAUUCUCGUACCCUUCGGGCGGAGUCCCACCAUCCGUCGUUCCUUCCUUUUCCCUUCCCUUUUCACUCCCUCCCUCUUCUUUUUCCUUUCCCUUCCUUCCUCCCUCCCUCCUUUCCUCCAUCCUUUCUCUUUCCCUCCCUUUUCCUCCAUCCUUUCUCUUUCCCUCCCUUUCUCUUUUCUUCCUUUCCCUUUCCCUUCCUUGCUCUCUCCCUCCUUCUUUCCUUCCUUCCUUCCUUCCUUCCUUUUCUCUUUCCCUUUUUUCCUCCUUCCUUCCUUCCUUUUCUCUUUACCUUCUUUCCUCCCUCCUUCUUUCUUUCCUUCCUUUUCUCUUUACCUUCUUUCCUCCCUCAUUCCUUCCUUCCUUCCUUUUCUCUUUACCUUCUUUCCUCCCUCCUUCCUUCCUUCCUUUUCUCUUUACCUUCUUUCCUCCCUCCUUCCUUCCUUCCUUCCUUUUCUCUUUACCUUCUUUCCUCCCUCCUUCCUUCCUUCCUUUUCUCUUUACCUUCUUUCCUACCUCCUUCCUUCCUUCUUUCCUUUUCUCUUUCCCCUCUUUCCUCCCUCCUCCUUUCCUUCCUUCCUUCCUUCCUUCCUUCCUUUUCUCUUUACCUUCCGUCCUUCCUCCUUCCUUCCCUUUCUUUUUCUCUUUCCCUCCUUCCCUUUCUCUUUUCAUUCCUCCUUUCCUUCCCUUCCUUUCCCUUUUCUCUAUCACCUUUCUCCUUUUGGAGGCUGUUAAGGUGA
rnacentral:lncRNA from 1 species